rnacentral:rRNA from 1 species
CGCGUGGGAAUCUGCCAUAGAGUGGGGAACAACUUUUGGAAACGAAAGCUAAUACCGCAUACGCCCUCCGGGGAAAGGCUUCGGCCGCUCUUUGAUGAUCCCGCGUCUGAUUAGCUUGUUGGUAGGGUAACGGCUUACCAAGGCGACGAUCAGUAGCUGGUCUGAGAGGAUGAUCAGCCACACUGGGACUGAGACACGGCCCAGACUCCUACGGGAGGCAGCAGUGGGGAAUAUUGGACAAUGGGGGAAACCCUGAUCCAGCAAUGCCGCGUGAGUGAAGAAGGCCUUAGGGUUGUAAAA